UACGUAGGUGGCAAGCGUUGUCCGGAUUUAUUGGGUUUAAAGGGUGCGUAGGCGGUUCUGUAAGUCAGUGGUGAAAUACUCCAGCUUAACUGGAGGGGUGCCAAUGAUACUGCAGAACUUGAGUACAGAUGAGGUAGGCGGAAUUGACGGUGUAGCGGUGAAAUGCAUAGAUAUCGUAAGGAAGACCAGUGGCGAAGGCGGGUCUCUGGACAGUUCCUGACGCUGAGGCACGAAGGUCAGGGGAGCAAACGGG
rnacentral:rRNA from 1 species